GAACGAACGCUGGCAGCGUGGAUUAGGCAUGCAAGUCGAACGGGAUCGGCCCGGUAGCAAUAUUGGGCCGUGAGAGUGGCGGAAGGGCGAGUUAGGCACGGGCAAUCUACCCUCGAACUGGGGAUAACCCGGCGAAAGCCGGGCUAAUACCGAAUGUGGCCCCGGGAGGCAUCUUCCGGGCGUUAAAGACGGGGCUCCGCAAGGACCUGUCGUUCGGGGAGGAGCUCGUGUGCCAUCAGCUUGUUGGCGGGGUAACGGCCCACCAAGACGAUGAUGCGUAGCCGGCCUGAGAGGGUGAACGGCCACAUUGGGACUGAGACACGGCCCAAACUCCUACGGGAGGCAGCAGUAGGGAAUUUUCGGCAAUGGGCGCAAGCCUGACCGAGCAACGCCGCGUGAGUGAUGAAGGUUUUCGGAUUGUAAAGCUCUGUUGUAAGGGAAGAAUGUCUUGGAGAGAAUCCAGGAGUGACGGUACCUUACCAGAAAGCCACGGCUAACUACGUGCCAGCAGCCGCGGUAAUACGUAGGUGGCAAGCGUUAUCCGGAAUUAUUGGGCGUAAAGGGUGCGUAGGCGGUUAGUUAAGUUUAUGGUGAAAGCGUGGGGCUCAACCCCAUACAGCCAUAGAUACUGGCUAGCUAGAGUACAGGAGAGGGCAGUGGAAUUCCAUGUGUAGCGGUAAAAUGCGUAGAUAUAUGGAGGAACACCAGUGGCGAAGGCGGCUGCCUGGCCUGUAACUGACGCUGAUGCACGAAAGCGUGGGGAGCAAAUAGGAUUAGAUACCCUAGUAGUCCACGCCGUAAACGAUGAAUACUAAGUGUUGGGGAAACUCAGUGCUGCAGUUAACGCAAUAAGUAUUCCGCCUGUGGAGUAUGCUCGCAAGAGUAAAACAUAAAGGAAUUGACGGGGGCCCGCACAAGCGGUGGAGUAUGUGGUUUAAUUCGACGCAACGCGAAGAACCUUACCAGGCCUUGACAUCCCUUGCAAAACUGUAGAGAUACAGCGGAGGUUAUCAGGGUGACAGGUGGUGCAUGGUUGUCGUCAGCUCGUGUCGUGAGAUGUUGGGUUAAGUCCCGCAACGAGCGCAACCCUUGUCUUCAGUUACCAGCAUUCAGUUGGGGACUCUGGAGAGACUGCCGGUGAUAAACCGGAGGAAGGUGGGGAUGACGUCAAAUCAUCAUGCCCCUUAUGGCCUGGGCUACACACGUACUACAAUGGCUAUUACAACGUGGAGCGACUGUGCGAACAGAAGCAAAUCACUUAAAGAUAGUCUCAGUUCGGAUUGAAGUCUGCAAUUCGACUUCAUGAAGCUGGAAUCGCUAGUAAUCGCGGAUCAGCAUGCCGCGGUGAAUACGUUCUCGGGCCU
rnacentral:rRNA from 1 species